rnacentral:rRNA from 1 species
GGCUGGGAAGGAUCAUUCACAAUAAGAGUGUUUAUGGCACUCUUCAAAAAUCCAUACCCACCUUGUGUGCAACGUAAAAAGAAAAAAAAAGAAAGAUGCGAGUCAUGAGGGGAACCUCGAGUCUUGCUCCCUCUCUCUUUUUUCUUUUCCACAUACACCUUUCUAUUAGUUCCUAUUGUCUGAAGCUGUUAGAGAAUGACUAAUUCUUAAACAUAACUUUCAACAACGGAUCUCUUGGCUCUCGCAUCGAUGAAGAACGCAGCGAAAUGCGAUACGUAAUGUGAAUUGCAGAAUUCAGUGAAUCAUCGAAUCUUUGAACGCAUAUUGCGCUCUUUGGUAUUCCGAAGAGCAUGCUUGUUUGAGUAUCAGUAAACACCUCAACCAGAUUUUUUUCUGGAUGGACUUGAGCAAACCCAACAUUGGUCUCUUUCGAGAGGUCGGCGGCGGGUUGCUUAAAAUGCAGGUGCAGCUGUGACAAGAACAGACUGAGCUAAAAGCAUAUCUAAUUUAGUCCGCCUGGCGGAUUAUCUCUAUUUGCUGCAGUUCAACUAAAAGUCGUCUUGGCGAGCUGACUGAUGCAGGAUUUGUCAGACUUUCCUCUCUCUUUGGAGAAAGGGCUUUCUUUCAAAACUCGAUCUCAAAUCAAGUAAGACUACCCGCUGAACUUAAGCAUUCAAAACCCGAGGAAAAAAAAA